rnacentral:rRNA from 1 species
CAUGCAAGUCGAACGGUAGCACAGAGAGCUUGCUCUUGGGUGACGAGUGGCGGACGGGUGAGUAAUGUCUGGGAAACUGCCCGAUGGAGGGGGAUAACUACUGGAAACGGUAGCUAAUACCGCAUAACGUCGCAAGACCAAAGUGGGGGACCUUCGGGCCUCACACCAUCGGAUGUGCCCAGAUGGGAUUAGCUAGUUGGUGAGGUAAUGGCUCACCAAGGCGACGAUCCCUAGCUGGUCUGAGAGGAUGACCAGCCACACUGGAACUGAGACACGGUCCAGACUCCUACGGGAGGCAGCAGUGGGGAAUAUUGCACAAUGGGCGCAAGCCUGAUGCAGCCAUGCCGCGUGUAUGAAGAAGGCCUUCGGGUUGUAAAGUACUUUCAGCGAGGAGGAAGGCAUUGAGGUUAAUAACCUUAGUGAUUGACGUUACUCGCAGAAGAAGCACCGGCUAACUCCGUGCCAGCAGCCGCGGUAAUACGGAGGGUGCAAGCGUUAAUCGGAAUUACUGGGCGUAAAGCGCACGCAGGCGGUCUGUCAAGUCGGAUGUGAAAUCCCCGGGCUCAACCUGGGAACUGCAUUCGAAACUGGCAGGCUAGAGUCUUGUAGAGGGGGGUAGAAUUCCAGGUGUAGCGGUGAAAUGCGUAGAGAUCUGGAGGAAUACCGGUGGCGAAGGCGGCCCCCUGGACAAAGAC